rnacentral:rRNA from 1 species
AGUCUGCAACUCGACUGCACAAGUCGGAAUUGCUAGUAAUCGCGGAUCAGCAUGCCGCGGUGAAUACGUUCCCGGGCCUUGUACACACCGCCCGUCACACCAUGAGAGUCGGGAACACCCGAAGUCGGUAGUCUAACCUCGUGAGGACGCCGCCGAAGGUGGGCUUGAUAAUUGGGGUGAAGUCGUAACAAGGUAUC